rnacentral:antisense_RNA from 1 species
UCGGAAUAUAACUAACUAACUAACUUCCUUCCUUCCUUCCUUCCUUCCUCCCUCCCUCCCUCCCUGCCUUCCCUUCCUUCCUGCCUUCCUUCUUCCUUCCUCCCUUUUUUCUUUUCUCCCUUCCUUCCUUCUUAAUAUGUUUUUGGCCUUUUCUUUAUAUAUGUGGCCUAGCAAUAUCCUGUGUUUGGAAAAGUAUAAACCUAAGGCAUCACCUUUACAGAAAAUAUCUUCCACGGAAACAUCUAAAGGCAAAAAUCCUUCAAAUUCAAAUUUAUCCAAUCAUUUCUUCUGCUUACUACCAUCCUAAAUCAUUUUUCUUUAGUAAGAUCUAUUAGUGGGAAGCUAUUAAGCUAUUAAUGUAUCAUAUUAAUUGUAUUCAGAUAUUAAGUGAGGAGGUAAAGUUGCAUUCACAGGCCUUGAACUUUUCCACAUCUCGAUUUUUACCCAUCAUCUCUGAAUAGUUCCCUAAGGCAGCCUUCAAAUGGUGAUGUUUCUUAUAAUCCAGAGUUCAGAAGUGGCUUCUCUUCAAUCUUUCUGUGGAAUUCUAAACCAUGUGAUAAAGGAGCUGGUGGCCACAGAUCAGCCCUGGGGUUCAGAGGGAUCCUGACGGCUACUCCUCAAGAUCCUCUCUGUUGUGAUUCAUCCCCCCCGGGCCCUACAGUUUCUCCUUCCUGACUCUUACAUUUCUUUGGAUGGCAUCAUUAUUGCUGGAGUGCAGUGAUGUGAUCUCGGCUCACUGCAACCCCUGCUUCCUGGAUUCAAGCAAUUUUCCUGCCUCACCCUCCCAAGUAGCUGGGAUUACAGUACCUGUCUCCUCCCAUAGUUAGGUGCCAAGCACUGUGGAUUCUGCCCCUCAGUGUCCAGACACCCAUUU